ensembl:misc_RNA
CUUCCUCCCCCCUCUCCUGGAGAGGAACCGUUCAAGUGGGGGAGAAUAGGAUAUAAAUUUCCUCCAGAACAGCAGAACCGUCUCCUUUUGCCCCGGUGCAGCAGGCACCUCCGCGCUCUAUUGCAGGUUUACGC